rnacentral:rRNA from 1 species
GAUGAACGCUGGCGGCGUGCUUAACACAUGCAAGUCGAACGAGAAGUGGAGACGGAAACCUUCGGGCGGAAGACUUUAUUUCGAGUGGCGGACAGGUGAGUAACGCGUGGGUAACCUGCCUCAUACAGGGGGAUAACAGUUGGAAACGACUGUUAAUACCGCAUAAGACCACAGCACCGCAUGGUGCGGGGGUAAAAACUCCGGUGGUAUGAGAUGGACCCGCGUUCGAUUAGCCAGUUGGCGGGGUAACGGCCCACCAAAGCGACGAUCGAUAGCCGAUCUGAGAGGAUGACCGGCCACAUUGGGACUGAGACACGGCCCAAACUCCUACGGGAGGCAGCAGUGGGGAAUAUUGCACAAUGGGGGAAACCCUGAUGCAGCGACGCCGCGUGAGUGAAGAAGUAUUUCGGUAUGUAAAGCUCUAUCAGCAGGGAAGAAAAUGACGGUACCUGAGUAAGAAGCCCCGGCUAACUACGUG